UACCCGCAGCACAAGUGGUGGUCAUUAUUAUUGGGCCUAAAGCGUCCGUAGCUGGCCUGUUAGAUGCCUGGGUAAAUCGAUGCGCUCAACGUAUCGAACUCCGGGUAGACCGGCAGGCUUGGGACCGGGAGAGGCGUGAGCUACUCGGGGGGUAGGGGUAAAAUCCGUUGAUCCAUUGAAGACCACCAGUGGCGAAGGCGGCUUGCCAGAACGCGCUCGACGGUGAGGGAUGAAAGCUGGGGGAGCAAACCGG
rnacentral:rRNA from 1 species